UUCCGUAGGGGAACCUGCGGAAGGAUCAUUACCUAGAGUUUGUAGACUUCGGUCUGCUACCUCUUACCCAUGUCUUUUGAGUACCUUCGUUUCCUCGGCGGGUCCGCCCGCCGAUUGGACAACAUUCAAACCCUUUGCAGUUGCAAUCAGCGUCUGAAAAAACAUAAUAGUUACAACUUUCAACAACGGAUCUCUUGGUUCUGGCAUCGAUGAAGAACGCAGCGAAAUGCGAUAAGUAGUGUGAAUUGCAGAAUUCAGUGAAUCAUCGAAUCUUUGAACGCACAUUGCGCCCCUUGGUAUUCCAUGGGGCAUGCCUGUUCGAGCGUCAUUUGUACCUUCAAGCUCUGCUUGGUGUUGGGUGUUUGUCUCGCCUCUGCGUGUAGACUCGCCUUAAAACAAUUGGCAGCCGGCGUAUUGAUUUCGGAGCGCAGUACAUCUCGCGCUUUGCACUCAUAACGACGACGUCCAAAAGUACAUUUUUACACUCUUGACCUCGGAUCAGGUAGGGAUACCCGCUGAACUUAAGCAUAUCAAUAG
rnacentral:rRNA from 1 species